CCUUCUUUAGGCAAAUCCGGAGAGUCAAUGUCAAGGCGUGAUAACGAGUGAGCUUGCUCAUGAAGUGACUGAUACCAUGCUUCCAAGAAAAGCCACUAAGCUUCAGUUAAGUUGAGACCGUACCGCAAACCGACACAGGUGGGCAGGAUGAGAAUUCUAAGGCGCUUGAGAGAACCCAGGAGAAGGAACUCGGCAAACUAGCACCGUAACUUCGGGAGAAGGUGCGCCCCGGUAGGUUGUAGCAAUUUACUUGCGAAGGCCGAUGGGGUUGCAGUGGAAAGGUGGCUGCGACUGUUUAAUAAAAACACAGCACUGUGCAAUCACGAAAGUGGACGUAUACGGUGUGACGCCUGCCCGUGCCGGAAGGUUAAAUGAUGGGGUGCAAGCUCUUGAUUGAAGCCCCGGUAAACGGCGGCCGUAACGAUAACGGUCCUAAGGUAGCGAAAUUCCUUGUCGGGUAAGUUCCGACCCGCACGAAUGGCGUAACGAUGGCCUCACUGUCUCCUCUUGGGACUCAGCGAAGUUGAAAUGUUUGUGAAGAUGCAAUCUACCCGCGGCUAGACGGAAAGACCCCAUGAACCUUUACUGUAGCUUUACAUUGGACUUUGACAAGAUCUGUGUAGGAUAGGUGGGAGGCAUUGAAGCGUGGUCGCUAGAUCAUGUGGAGCCAACCUUGAAAUACCACCCUGAUGUUGUUGAGGUUCUAACCUAGACCCCGAAACGGGGUUGGGGACCGUGUAUGGUGGGCAGUUUGACUGGGGCGGUCUCCUCCCAAAGAGUAACGGAGGAGUGCGGAGGUAACCUAGGUACGGUCGGAAAUCGUACUGAUAGUGCAAUGGCAUAAGGUUGCUUGACUGCGAGACGGACAGGUCGAGCAGGUGCGAAAGCAGGUCAUAGUGAUCCGGUGGUUCUGUAUGGAAGGGCCAUCGCUCAACGGAUAAAAGAUACUCUGGGGAUAACAGGCUGAUUCCUCCCAAGAGUUCAUAUCGACGGGGGAGUUUGGCACCUCGAUGUCGGCUCAUCACAUCCUGGGGCUGUAGCCGGUCCCAAGGGUAUGGCUGUUCGCCAUUUAAAGUGGUACGUGAGCUGGGUUCAAAACGUCGCGAGACAGUUUGGUCCCUAUCUGCCGUGGGCGUUGAAGUUUGAGGGGGGCUGCUCCUAGUACGAGAGGACCGGAGUGGACAGAUCUCUGGUGGACCGGUUGUCAUGCCAAUGGCAUAGCCGGGUAGCUAAAUCUGGAAGAGAUAAGCGCUGAAAACAUCUAAGCGCGAAACUCGCCUCGAGAUGAUACUUCCCUGUGCUUUAAGCACACUAAAGAGUCGUUCAAGACCAGGACGUUGAUAGGUCAGGUGUGGAAGCGUAGUAAUACGUUAAGCUAACUGAUACUAAUUGCUCGUGAGGCUUGAUCCU
rnacentral:rRNA from 1 species